rnacentral:rRNA from 1 species
UACGUAGGGGGCGAGCGUUAUCCGGAAUCACUGGGCGUAAAGGGCGUCUAGGCGGUCCAGUAAGUCCUGCGUGAAAGCUCCCGGCUCAACUGGGAGAGCGCGUGGGAGACUGUUGGGCUAGAGACUCGGAGAGGGGUGUGGAAUUCCCGGUGGAGUGGUGAAAUGCGUUGAGAUCGGGAGGAACACCAGUGGCGAAGGCGGCACCCUGGCCGAGUUCUGACGCUGAAGCGCGACAGCGUGGGGAGCAAACGGG